rnacentral:lncRNA from 1 species
AUGGGAAAGACUAGAGAUCUCUUCAAGAAAAUUAGAGAUACCAAGGAAACAUUUCAUGCAAAGAUGGGCUCGAUAAAGGACAGAAAUGGUAUGGACCUAACAGAAGCAGAAGAUAUUCAGAAGAGGUGGCAAGAAUACACAGAAGAACUGUACAAAAAAGAUCUUCACGACACGGAUAAUCAUGAUGGUGUGAUCACUCAUCUAGAGCCAGAUAUCCUGGAAUGUGAAGUCAAGUGGGCCUUGGAAAGCAUCACUAUGAACAAAGCUAGUGAAGGUGAUGGAAUUCCAGUUGAGCUCUUUCAAAUCCUGAAAGAUGAUGCUAUGAAAGUGCUGCACUCAAUAUGCCAGCAAAUUUGGAAAACUCAGCAGUGGCCACAGGACUGGAAAAGGUCAGUUUUCAUUCCAAUCCCAAAGAAAGGCAAUGCCAAAGAAUGCUCGAACUACCGCACAAUUGCACUCAUCUCACAUGCUGGUAAAGUAAUGCUCAAAAUUCUCCAAGCCAGGCUUCAGCAAUACGUGAACCGAGGACUUCCUGAUGUUCAAGCUGGUUUUAGAAAAGGCAGAGGAACCAGAGAUCAAAUUGCCAACAUCUGCUGGAUCAUGGAAAAAGCAAGAGAGUUCCAGAAAAACAUCUAUUUCUGCUUUAUUGACUAUGCCAAAGCCUUUGACUGUGUGGAUCACAAUAAACUGUGGAAAAUUUUGAAAGAGAUGGGAAUACCAGACCACCUAACCUGCCUCUUGAGAAAUCUGUAUGCAGGUCAGGAAGCAACAGUUAGAACUGGGCAUGGAACAACAGACUGGUUCCAAAUAGGAAAAGGAGUACGUCAAGGCUGUAUAUUGUCACCCUGCUUAUUUAACUUCUAUGCAGAGUACAUCAUGAGAAACGCUGGGCUGGAAGAGACACAAGCUGGAAUCAAGAUUGCCGGGAGAAAUAUCAAUAACUUCAGAUAUGCAGAUGACCCCACCCUUAUGGCAGAAAGUGAAGAGGAACUAAAGAGCCUCUUGAUGAAAGUGAAAGAGGAGAGUGAAAAAGUUGGCUUAAAGCUCAACAUUCAGAAAACUAAGAUCAUGGCAUCUGGUCCCAUCACUUCAUGGGAAAUAGAUGGGGAACCAGUGGAAACAGUGUCAGACUUCAUUUUUUUGGGCUCCAAAAUCACUGCAGAUGGUGAUUGCAGCCAUGAAAUUAAAAGACGCUUACUCCUUAGAAGGAAAGUUAUGACCAACCUAGAUAGCAUAUUCAAAAGCAGAGACAUUACUUUGCCGACUAAGGUCUGUCUAGUAAAGGCUAUGGUUUUUCCAGUGGUCAUGUAUGGAUGUGAGAGUUGGACUGUGAAGAAGGCUGAGCGCCGAAGAAUUGAUGCUUUUGAACUGUGGUGUUGGAGAAGACUCUUGAGAGUCCCUUGGACUGCAAGGAGAUCCAACCAGUCCAUUCUGAAGGAGAUCAGUCCUGGGAUUUCUUUGGAAGGAAUGAUGCUAAAGCUGAAACUUCAGUACUUUGGCCACCUCAUGCAAAGAGUUGACUCACUGGAAAAGACUCUGAUGCUGGGAAGGAUUGGGUGCAGGAGGAGAAGGGGACGACAGAGGAUGAGAUGGCUGGAUGGCAUCAUUGACUCGAUGAACGUGGUCUGA